UACGUAGGGGGCUAGCGUUGUCCGGAAUCAUUGGGCGUAAAGCGCGUGUAGGCGGUCCGGUAAGUCCGCUGUGAAAGUCGGGGGCUCAACCCUCGGAUGCCGGUGGAUACUGUCGGGCUUGAGUACGGAAGAGGCGAGUGGAAUUCCUGGUGUAGCGGUGAAAUGCGCAGAUAUCAGGAGGAACACCAAUUGCGAAGGCAGCUCGCUGGGACGUGACUGACGCUGAGACGCGAAAGCGUGGGGAGCAAACGAG
rnacentral:rRNA from 1 species